rnacentral:rRNA from 1 species
UACGGGGGGGGGUAAGCGUUGUUCGGAAUUACUGGGCGUAAAGGGCUCGUAGGCGGCCAACUAAGUCAGACGUGAAAUCCCUCAGCUUAACUGGGGAACUGCGUCUGAUACUGGAUGGCUUGGAUUCGGGAGAGGAAUGCGGAAUUCCAGGUGUAGCGGUGAAAUGCGUAGAUAUCUGGAGGAACACCGGUGGCGAAGGCGGCAUUCUGGACCGACAUUGACGCUGAGGAGCGAAAGCCAGGGGGAGCAAACGGGG